rnacentral:rRNA from 1 species
CAGCAGCCACGGUAAUACGUAGGUCCCGAGCGUUGUCCGGAUUUAUUGGGCGUAAAGGGAGCGCAGGCGGUUUAGUAAGUCUGAAGUUAAAGGCAUUGGCUCAACCAAUGUAUGCUUUGGAAACUGUUGGACUUGAGUGCAGAAGGGGAGAGUGGAAUUCCAUGUGUAGCGGUGAAAUGCGUAGAUAUAUGGAGGAACACCGGUGGCGAAAGCGGCUCUCUGGUCUGUCACUGACGCUGAGGCUCGAAAGCGUGGGUAGCGAACAGGAUUAGAUACCCCUGUAGUCCCUGUCUCUUAUACA